ACAGAACGUUUCCUGAGUAUAGGAGGAAGCCGGAAACCGGAGGGCGUCUCUGAAAUAUAGAAGGUUUGCAGAUUAACCCCACAUCUGCCAGAACCGAUCGCAUAAACCUGGCAGGCUGGAGGAUCAGAUGCAGUAGGCAUUUACAUGAAUCAAUAGGCAUAACUCCAUUGACAGCACACGAAAUACAAGAGAAAGUUUAUUUUUAGACACUUUUUGGAAUAUGAUUUUCGGUUUUCUUAUUUUUCUUUUCUUCCGAUGACCAUAAUUGUUUUAGGAGACUGACCACCGGAAUUCUCAUUCGUAAAAUGUUUGUGACCUUUCCACUGCUUAUGGCUUUGAUUAGCCUUCCGUGUCCGUGCCUUGGGGUGGAGGUGACGCAGACUCCCAGGGUCUUAAUAACCCAGGCUGGGGAGAACGUGGCGCUCCAGUGCAACCAUACUGAGAGUACCUACCUAACGAUGCUCUGGUACCAGCAGAAGCCUGGGGAAGGACUGAAGCUCAUGAUCUAUUCGACGGAUGCCAAUGUUAAGAGCGAUGCAAUGGAGGCAGAAUUUCAGGCGUGGGAUUGGAGCAGACCUCACGUUCAGUAUGCCACCCUCAAACUGUCACACGCUGGCACCACGGACUCAGCCGUAUAUUUCUGUGCAAUCAGUAGACACAGUUACAAAUCAUAAAGCAGCGCCAAGCAGAAAACCUACAGCUCUGGGGUGAAACCUCUAGAAAUAUGGACAGAUUUCAUACUGACCUGC